rnacentral:rRNA from 1 species
AACGAACGCUGGCGGCAUGCCUAACACAUGCAAGUCGAACGAGACCUUCGGGUCUAGCGGCGCACGGGUGCGUAACGCGUGGGAAUCCGCCCUUGGGUUCGGGAUAACAGUUGGAAAUGACUGCUAAUACCGAAUGAUGACUUCGGUCCAAAGAUUUAUCGCCCAGGGAUGAGCCCGCGUCGGAUUAGCUUGUUGGUGAGGUAAAGGCUCACCAAGGCGACGAUCCGUAGCUGGUCUGAGAGGAUGAUCAGCCACACUGGGACUGAGACACGGCCCAGACUCCUACGGGAGGCAGCAGUGGGGAAUAUUGGACAAUGGGCGAAAGCCUGAUCCAGCAAUGCCGCGUGAGUGAUGAAGGCCUUAGGGUUGUAAAGCUCUUUUACCCGGGAAGAUAAUGACUGUACCGGGAGAAUAAGCCCCGGCUAACUCCGUGCCAGCCGCCGCGGUAACAC